rnacentral:rRNA from 1 species
UUGAUCCUGGCUCAGGACGAACGCUGGCGGCGCGCCUAACACAUGCAAGUCGAACGAGCGAGAGAGAGCUUGCUUUCUCGAGCGAGUGGCGAACGGGUGAGUAACGCGUGAGGAACCUGCCUCAAAGAGGGGGACAACAGUUGGAAACGACUGCUAAUACCGCAUAAGCCCACGGGUCGGCAUCGACCAGAGGGAAAAGGAGCAAUCCGCUUUGAGAUGGCCUCGCGUCCGAUUAGCUAGUUGGUGAGGUAACGGCCCACCAAGGCAACGAUCGGUAGCCGGACUGAGAGGUUGAACGGCCACAUUGGGACUGAGACACGGCCCAGACUCCUACGGGAGGCAGCAGUGGGGAAUAUUGCACAAUGGGGGAAACCCUGAUGCAGCGACGCCGCGUGGAGGAAGAAGGUCUUCGGAUUGUAAACUCCUGUUGUUGAGGAAGAUAAUGACGGUACUCAACAAGGAAGUGACGGCUAACUACGUGCCAGCAGCCGCGGUAAAACGUAGGUCACAAGCGUUGUCCGGAAUUACUGGGUGUAAAGGGAGCGCAGGCGGGAGAACAAGUUGGAAGUGAAAUCCAUGGGCUCAACCCAUGAACUGCUUUCAAAACUGUUUUUCUUGAGUAGUGCAGAGGUAGGCGGAAUUCCCGGUGUAGCGGUGGAAUGCGUAGAUAUCGGGAGGAACACCAGUGGCGAAGGCGGCCUACUGGGCACCAACUGACGCUGAGGCUCGAAAGUGUGGGUAGCAAACAGGAUUAGAUACCCUGGUAGUCCACAUCGUAAACGAUGAUUACUAGGUGUUGGAGGAUUGACCCCUUCAGUGCCGCAGUUAACACAAUAAGUAAUCCACCUGGGGAGUACGACCGCAAGGUUGAAACUCAAAGGAAUUGACGGGGGCCCGCACAAGCAGUGGAGUAUGUGGUUUAAUUCGACGCAACGCGAAGAACCUUACCAAGUCUUGACAUCCCUUGACGAUGCUGGAAACAGUAUUUCUCUUCGGAGCAAGGAGACAGGUGGUGCAUGGUUGUCGUCAGCUCGUGUCGUGAGAUGUUGGGUUAAGUCCCGCAACGAGCGCAACCCUUAUGGUCAGUUACUACGCAAGAGGACUCUGGCCAGACUGCCGUUGACAAAACGGAGGAAGGUGGGGAUGACGUCAAAUCAUCAUGCCCUUUAUGACUUGGGCUACACACGUACUACAAUGGCGUUAAACAAAGAGAAGCAAGACCGCGAGGUGGAGCAAAACUUAGAAACAACGUCCCAGUUCGGACUGCAGGCUGCAACUCGCCUGCACGAAGUCGGAAUUGCUAGUAAUCGUGGAUCAGCAUGCCACGGUGAAUACGUUCCCGGGCCUUGCACUCACCGCCCGUCA